GAGUUUGAUCUUGGCUCAAGAUGAACGCUGGCGGCGUGCCUAACACAUGCAAGUCGAACGGAGUUUAUGAGGAAGAAGCUUCGGCGGAAUUCUUAUAAACUUAGUGGCGGACGGGUGAGUAACACGUGGAGAACCUGCCUCUUACCGGGGGACAGCAGUUGGAAACGACUGAUAAUACCGCAUAAGCGCACGAGACCGCAUGGUCCUGUGUGAAAAGAUUUAUCGGUAAGAGAUGGCUCCGCGUCUGAUUAGCCAGUUGGCGGGGUAACGGGCCCACCAAAGCGACGAUCAGUAGCCGGCCUGAGAGGGUGAACGGCCACAUUGGGACUGAGACACGGCCCAGACUCCUACGGGAGGCAGCAGUGGGGGAGUAUUGCACAAUGGAGGAAACUCUGAUGCAGCGACGCCGCGUGAGUGAAGAAGUAUUCGGUAUGUAAAGCUCUAUCAGCAGGGAAGAAAGACCUACGAAAGAGGGGAUGACGGUACCUGAGUAAGAAGCCCGGCUAACUACGUGCCAGCAC
rnacentral:rRNA from 1 species